UGGGGAAUCUUUGACAAUGGGCGCAAGCCUGAUCUAGCCAUGCCGCGUGAGUGAUGAAGGUCUUAGGAUCGUAAAGCUCUUUCGCCAGAGAUGAUAAUGACAGUAUCUGGUAAAGAAACCCCGGCUAACUCCGUGCCAGCAGCCGCGGUAAUACGGAGGGGGUUAGCGUUGUUCGGAAUUACUGGGCGUAAAGCGUACGUAGGCGGAUUGGAAAGUAGGGGGUGAAAUCCCAGGGCUCAACCCUGGAACUGCCUCCUAAACUAUCAGUCUAGAGUUCGAGAGAGGUGAGUGGAAUUCCAAGUGUAGAGGUGAAAUUCGUAGAUAUUUGGAGGAACACCAGUGGCGAAGGCGGCUCACUGGCUCGAUACUGACGCUGAGGUACGAAAGUGUGGGGAGCAAACAGGAUUAGAUACCCUGGUAGUCCACACCGUAAACGAUGAAUGCCAGUCGUCGGGGAGCUUGCUCUUCGGUGACACACCUAAC
rnacentral:rRNA from 1 species